rnacentral:rRNA from 1 species
AUUGAACGCUGGCGGCAGGCCUAACACAUGCAAGUCGCACGAGUGGCGGCCGGGUGAGUAAUGUCUGGGAAACUGCCCGCUGGAGGGGGAUAACUACUGGAAACGGUAGCUACUACCGCAUACCAUCGGAUGUGCCCAGAUGGGAUUAGCUGGUAGGUGGGGUAACGGCUCACCUAGGCGACGAUCCCUAGCUGGUCUGAGAGGAUGACCAGCCACCCGGGAACUGAGACACGGUCCAGACUCCUACGGGAGGCAGCAGUGGGGAAUAUUGCACAAUGGGCGCAAGCCUGAUGCAGCCAGGCCGCGUGUAUGAAGAAGGCCUUCGGGUUGUAAAGUACUUUCAGCGAGGAGGCGUUACUCGCAGAAGAAGCACCGGCUAACUCCGUGCCAGCAGCCGCGGUAAUUC